GAACGAUCCCAAAACAAGAAGAGACAAAAAUUAAAUAAAUAAAAUUUUAAAAGGCUGGGUAAACCAAGCAAAGGAACACAGGUUUUCAAAAAUCUAUGCCUUUGUAAUGGUAAUAAAACUGCCUGCAGUGUAGUAAAGCCAGAGAUGACUUGGUGGCUUUGUUGUCAGUUAGUAACCAUGGUGGCUUUAAGAAGAACCCCCCCCCCCCCAGCUACUUAUUAAAAUCACAGCCUCUUAGCAUUGAAAGCUCUGCAUCUGUCUCAAGUGAUUAGCUGGCUGCUGGCUCUGCUGUGGAUACCAGGGGGCCGUGAUUGCCACUGCUACAUCACUUCAGCCUCAAGCACCCCGACUAAUCCUAAAAUCAUUUCAGACUAUUGCCAGUUGGUCAGAAAUUAAAGAAAUGAAUAUAGCGGAACCAUGAACGUCGCUCACUUCAAUUUAGAAACGAAGCUGGUAAUAAAGCUGGUGAUAAAGGAGAAGCAGACGGGAUAUAACUCGUCAGCAGAAACCAGCAGCUUCAGCAGACAAAGGAACAGGACGAGAAACUAGCAAGAGAUCAUAAGGAACACUCGUUUUUUGUUGUAAACAGUUAUAAAUAGUUGCAAAUAUAUCAAUAAACUUUCAUUAUUUAAUUAUAAAACCAUCUACUUUUUGUGUGCUUUUUUUCCUAUAUUACCAAAUGUAUAUAAUGACAACUAUUUAUUUAACUCUGUUUGCGGCAUAGUUUUUUAAGUCUAGUCCCCAGAUCGUUUAUUAGUAGAUUAUUUUAAUUUUCAUUUGUAUGUUUUAUUGAUUGGUGUUUACUCAUUUCUGCCUCCAUGGUUUUAUGUCUGUAUUGGCAGUGAACAGAAGUUGUUUAUUGUACUUUCAAA